rnacentral:rRNA from 1 species
GACGAACGCUGGCGGCGUGCUUAACACAUGCAAGUCGUGCGGUAAGGCCCUUUCUGUGGUACACGCGCGGCGAACGGGUGAGUAACACGUGAGCAACCUGCCCUUCACUUUCUGAUAACUGCCUGAAACAGUGGCUAAUACCGGAUAUGACUUCCCCCCGCCUGUGGGGUGGUGGAAAGCCUUGUGGUGGUGGGGGAUGGGCUCGCGGUCUAUCAGCUUGUUGGUGGGGUGGUGGCUUACCAAGGCUUUGACGGGUAGCCGGCCUGAGAGGGUGACCGGCCACACUGGGACUGAGACACGGCCCAGACUCCUACGGGAGGCAGCAGUGGGGAAUAUUGGACAAUGGGCGGAAGCCUGAUGCAGCAACGCCGCGUGAGGGAUGACGGCCUUCGGGUUGUAAACCUCUUUCGCCUGUGACGAAGCGAGAGUGACGGUAGCAGGUAAAGAAGCACCGGCUAACUACGUG